GAAUGCACGACCUUCUUUCUUUGAGCAAGAGGACAAACCUGGGUAGGGAUCUCUAUGAUGUUUUCUGCGUUGCCCGUGGACGUUCAUCUUUCUGAUUUGUUAGCUGAAGAUGAGGAUCUGGAGCAGGAGCUCGGAGUGCCAUUGUUCCAUGGGCAGAUGUGCAGCAGAGAUUGGUCUUGCUCUGUCAUCCAGGCUGGCGCGAUCUCGGCUCACUUUGACCUCUGCCUCCUGGGUUCAAGCGAUUCUCCUGUCACAGCCUCCUGAGCAGCUGGGAUUACAGGCCAAGCCUACUGCUGUUAGAAAACAUAUUUAGAAAUCACUUGGUUCUUCCUUGCCUGAACAUCAUCUAUUUAGUUAGCUUGUGUUGUUUAGAUGUGCUUCAGAUCUCAAAAAAAUAAAUUAUGUUAUUUGAAAGCUU
rnacentral:lncRNA from 1 species